rnacentral:sRNA from 1 species
UACCUAAAAGCACCGUUAGUGCAUCGAG